AUCUGUUGAAUGACCUGCGUUCUAACUCUCACUCUCUCCUCUUCUUACUUUCUCUCUGUACGUUCUACUCUCGAUCUCUCUGAAGGCGCGGUGAAGGCGAUUUUAGCGUUCGACUUCGCUCUUCGAUUUUGCUCUUCGAUUUCAUUGUUUUUUCUCCUUUGAUUUCGUAAAUUCUUUGUUGUUCUUCUGAGAUUAUCCUUUUUUUGCUGUGAUUUGAACACUUUCAAGAGGGUGGCAGGUAUCUGUAACACCCCUUGAUAAUCAUAACCAAACACGUCGGCUGAUAAUGGAAGCAACGUAACAAUGUGUUGCUGGUUGUUGUUGUUGAGUGGGUUAGGCAGUUGAAUUGGGCAUAUAUGUGGUGGGUUGCAAGGUACUUGAGGCUGGCAGCAAGUGGGGGUGAUGAGGGGUGUGAUGAUGUGUUGCUAUAUCUUUCUGGAUGUAUUUAGUUCUACAUCUCAUAUGCCCUAUUUAAUUUUUCUUGAGCCAAGUUUUGGUGCCUCCAACUCCUCUGUUGUCCUACCAUGGCUAGCUGCUGAAAAAAUCCAAGUAUAUAUAUAUGUUUUUUUUGUUUACUUCUGCGAUAAUUUUAUUUACUUUCCUUUACUUCGAAUGUUUAAUAUAUACUAGCCUACUUUGAUAGAUCAGUUUAUUUACUUUUAAGAUAUUUUGAGUUACCUUUAAGUAAUUUUUCUUUACUA